CCUGAGCAUUGUCAGCAACGAUUUGGUCUAGCGUUCUUUCACUUCGUGUGACAAACAUUUUUGUCAUCUUUUGUGAAAUUUGUUGCAGUGCCACUUUAAAACAUGACGUGGUGUUCUUCUUCUUCCUUGAAGCUUCCGGCAGUUUUAUUGCUAGUGUUCUUGUCAUGUGGAGAAUCUUUCUCCAUAUUCAAGCAACAGAAGAUAGGUAGAGAGGCAGGAGAGGAGAAAGCAUGCUUAGUUCCUCUCAUUCUUAUUACGUUCAGGUGCUCAGACGAUGUGUGCAUUCAGAAUUGCGUUAAGCGGAAUGGUCUGAAUACAGAUGGUGUGUGCCGCGAUAAAUACAUAUGCUGCUGCACGCCAAAGGACUGAAACAUGAACGCAAACAAUCGCCAUCUCCCCGACGAGAGCUUUCUUUCUGUAAGAUGAAUAAAUUUUCUCUGCAUAAAUAAAGCAACCAACAUUUCGUAUUCGCUGUAAAUAAACUUUGCGACUUUAGGGGUGGAUUCGACCUGAGAGCUCGGAUUGAAGGGAUAAUGUUUGGCUCAAAUUCGAGCUUAAGUUUGUUCAAAUUUGCAUAUAAUAUCACUAAAGGGUUACCAACGAUAUAAACA